UCGGGCGUGGUGUACGGCACACCGUCUCUGCGCAUUGAACGCCUCGGUAUUUAACAGAGACCGGACCGGGUUCGAUUCCCGGCGCCUGAA